rnacentral:rRNA from 1 species
UACGUAGGGGGCAAGCGUUGUCCGGAAUCAUUGGGCGUAAAGAGCGCGUAGGCGGCCCGAUAAGUCCGCUGUGAAAGUCGGGGGCUCAACCCUCGAAAGCCGGUGGAUACUGUCGGACUAGAGUGCGGAAGAGGCGAGUGGAAUUCCUGGUGUAGCGGUGAAAUGCGCAGAUAUCAGGAGGAACACCAAUUGCGAAGGCAGCUCGCUGGGACGUUACUGACGCUGAGACGCGAAAGCGUGGGGAGCAAACAGG